rnacentral:rRNA from 1 species
AAGAGACAGCAGUCGCCACGGGAAUACGUAGGGUGCGAGCGUUAAUCGGAAUUACUGGGCGUAGAGCGUGCGCAGGCGGUUGUGUAAGACAGGUGUGAAAUCCCCGGGCUUAACCUGGGAACUGCGCUUGUGACUGCACAGCUAGAGUAUGGCAGAGGGGGGUGGAAUUCCACGUGUAGCAGUGAAAUGCGUAGAGAUGUGGAGGAACACCGAUGGCGAAGGCAGCCCCCUGGGCCAAUACUGACGCUCAUGCACGAAAGCGUGGGGAGCAAACAGGAUUAGAGACCCCUGUAGUCCCUGUCUCUUAUAA